rnacentral:misc_RNA from 1 species
AAACUGCGAUAAGUAGUGUGAAUUGCAUUUAGUGAAUCAUCGAAUCUUUGAACGCACCCUGCACUCACUGGUAUUCCGGUGAGUACGCCUGUUUCAGUAUCAUUGAAAACACACAAUCAAAACAUUUUCUUUGGUUUGAUUGGCUUUGUGUCUAUCAAAAAGUUUGGCUUGUUUCUUACAAGCCAAGCGGCCUGAAAUAUAUUGUCUGGCUAAUUGCAUCGUUGAUGAUCGCUAUUAGACUUUGGCUUUUUUAAAUGAACUGGAGGUUGAUUAACCAGUUUUAGCUUUAGUCAAAUGGUCAUUGUAAAAAAAAUCUCGAUCUUGGCUAGGUGUUUAUAGCCGAAAAUUUUUUUUUGGCUAUAACCGAAACCAAUAUAAUCACAUUUAGUUAUCGAUCUGAAAUCAGGUGGGACUACCCGCUGAACUUAAGC